AAAACCAAAGAUCUCUGUGACAUUUUCUUUCGCCUCUCUCCUCUUUUCUUUUUCUUCUUUUAUUUUUUUGGCAGGAGCAGGAAGCUGCGUGCUAAUCCCGCCUGCAAAAGCUAGAAGAGAGGGUGGAAUGAAAGAACAAAUCAUGAGCCGGGGACCAAGAACAGAACAACCAAUCCUUGCCUUGAAGAUGAAGUGGGCUAGGACUGGGAAGUGGAAAAGCCAAUCCUCAAGUUCAAAUGGAAUUGAAAAUGGCUCUGAAUAGCUGACAAUAUUGAAAAAGAAGAAAAAGAUUGGAAAACUUACAUUUCCCAAUUUAAGGCCUGCUCUUUCACUGGAACUUAAAGAUGACCAUCAGUAUCUCUUCUUUGACCUGUAGUGGUCUCAAGGGUGGCCCUGCAUCUCCAGUUAGUCUGCCUUGGAUAACACCCUGACUCGCUGGAACCUCAUCAUGCCUGGGUCUUUCCUGACCCUUUUACCACCUUCCUACCAAAGGGGCACUGGACAGUUUUCCUACUCUUCCUUCUUCCUCUCCUGCAGAAAGUCUGGUUCAAUGGGGCUGAGCUGAAAACCUGGCAUCAACGUUUUAACAAGUACCUUAGAUGAUCUGGUGCAGGUGGUCUGUGGAUUAUGCAUUCUGACACACUGCUUCACAGCUUUCAUGAACAUUCUCAUCCUUAUCUCCAUUACUUGUAAAAGGAACCCUUUCUCUUUAGAAACGGUCUUUUAGAUCAUACAGAGGAAUUAGUUCAGCUUGCAGAGACUUGGUAAAUUUAUUAUCUUCCUGAAGCCAAGUGAGACCACACAAGAGCAUGUGACAUGACAUCUCAAGUUCAUUGAUAAAGAGACUUCACAAAGAUACUAUAGAGAAGAUUUUGCCACUGUUAUCUUUUCCACCUCUUCUCCAUUCAGUAUCCUCUGCCUUAUAAGACCCCCUAUCCUGCAAUGAGGAGUAAGAGAGAAGACAGACAGUGGUUGCCUUUCUGGCCCUUAUAUUCUUUUAGGUUCCUCACAAAGGAUAGUGCCCCUAAUCUUGCCCUUAAUUCCAGGGUUUUUCACCACUUUAAGCCCACCAUUAUGCUUGAAGACCCUCAGCUUACCUACAUUCUAUAUACUAGACAAGGCAAUUGGGUUCUUGCAGGGGACCGUUAAGUACUUGAGAUGAAGAAAAGCUAACUUGUAGUAGACUUAGCAUGAAACAAAAGAGACAAGAGAGCCACCAUGUAAACAACAGGCAAUUCGCGGUCAUUCCAUCAUGAAUUAGAAAGGUGAGAUCCUUGCUUUAGACACAGAGAGAAGGGAGCCUGGUAGUUUUUUGCCUGUUAGCAUGCUUUACUCCAUUUUUGUUUGAUGAUCAGCUCUCCAUGCAGUUAAAAUUCUGUAGUGUUAGGCCUCUGUGACUCAUAACACUCAACUAUCAUGUUUGAUCUUUAUGAGUUUUGGGCAUAAUUAGCUAAUUAAUUAAUUAGGCAAAUAUUCAUUAAGCCCUUACCGUGUGCCAAGUGCUCUGCUGGGUCUUCGAUAUAUACAGAUGUGAGUACAUCCUUGUCUCCAUGGAGCUUACAGUCUAGGGACUCAAUCCUCACAGGGAAAACAAGAAUCAGAGAAGCCAAGCCACCUGCCUAGAGUUGCAAAGCCAUUGGAAGCCAAGUCCCCUGUUCUUUUUCUCUACAGAACUUGAUUACUGAGAUCAUGAUCUCUUGUCUUGACAUCUUGAGAUACAAGUACAGGGACAAGGGCUUUGAAUGGCUCUUCCUGCAGCAGACUCACCAGGUGCUGACCGCCCCCUCCAUCAAUGCUAACCACCCCCCUGCUCACUGCUUUUCUGAAUUAGGGUCACUGAUGCUUUCUAUGUAAGUCCCAAUUCCUUCAAACUUACAAACCAGUCCUCUGGUCAUGGGUUUCCUCCCUGUGCCGACUCAGCACGCUGACCAGUGGGCUCUGGAAUUCGUCUUGCUUCUGAAAACCUGGUGUGCUUGGGAGAAACCAUAGAUUCCUGAAUUCUCAGCAAGACAAGCUUCCCUCUUCUUUCUUUUUUCCUUCCCUUCCUUUUCUUUCUCUUCCCAUCUUUUCCUUUCCUUUCUCCUCGUUCCUCCCGCCCCCAACCCCACCGUGCUGGCACUGUUCUGAUGACCAGGCUUCUGUCGGGGGAGACCUGCAAAGGACUCUAGCUCUCUCUGGGAACUCAAGCACUCCCCUAAAUCCAGCUUAUUUGAUUGGGGUCCUAACAGCCCAGCUUAAUUCUUGACAGGUCUUUUCCCGGGAUAGGGAAAAGGGAUACUAGGGUUUGGCCUGAGUUUUGCUGUGAAGAGACAGGUUAUCUGAAGCCAGGAAGUCUACACCUAUCUGGAUUCCUUCUGCCAUACUUCUGGGAAGGCUUGGUGGCCCAGGCACCCUAGGUGAGUGUGAGCUGAUCAUUUUGCCUCCAGCCAUGUGGUUGUCCCAGGGGGCACUGUAGGGACAGCUCCCCCAACUUGGUCCUUGCCCGUUCACACUUCUGCUUGCUCCUUACCAGUCACAUGGCUGGGGCCCCACCUCACUAUAUAUGGCGGAGCCUGCUUGAAUGAGGUCCAGGAUGAAUUUUCCAUGACACAUUCAUCCUCUUUUGCCUUGUGAUCAAGUACAUGUGUGUUCCACAGAGAUGCAUAAUGAGACCUUCUAGCUUAUGCCAGGGUCACUCCUGGAGGCACAUUGCCUUGUUAUGGUGGCCAUUCCCAGCUGAGAUACCACAAGAUGAUGUUUGCACAUCAGCAGCAAGAAGAAUUAGGAAUUAAAUGACCCAGGGUAGGUAAAGCUCUUUGCCUGGUAUCAGAGAUACAGGGAACAAGGACUCAGCAAUUCAUUCAGCAUUGGCCUUAAAGAUCAAGUGGAUCUAAGCUUGUGGGAGCACAGUUCACGAGCCUGACUACAUCUGGCUAGGAAUGAAGUGAAAGAGCAAGGGAUUCCAAUAUACUGUUUCCUUUUCCAUCUUCCAUUUAUUAUUAUAUUUAGAAUUUCUGUGGGACUUCCUGCUUGUCUAAGCAACCACUUAUCCAGCCCUUCCAAUGAUGUCUCCCCUUUGCUUUUCACAGGCAGUUUGGGAAGAUCCUUAAAAUGAAACACAUCUUCCUUUUUCCUAAGGCAUCCCCCACCUUUCUCAACUCAUAAGAGUCAGAGUCACUGCAAACUGGGACCCAGCAGACAAAAACAAGGGGUGUGCAUGAACCAUCAUGGUAAAGAGAACAAGGUUCUGGAGGCAGAUGGUUUUGGCUUUAUAUCAGGCCCCUGCUGUUUACUAGCUAUGAGAUAUUUACUAGCUACUAGCAGAUUACUUCGUCUCUCUAAGCCUCAGUUUCUGCAUCUUUCAGGGUGUCUGACCCAGCAUUUAGAGUGGGUUAAACAAAUGACAGGCAUCAACUCUUAUUCUAUUCUGUUGGUAGGCAACUCAAAUCCAAGAAGGAGAGAUGAUAAAAGCUAUUAUCUAGAGAAGAGGCUAAGUUUCAGGAAAUGUGCAUGGUUAUUUGGAGGGUAGUGGUGGUAAAUAAGUAGUCCCACUGAUUCUGUCCAAUACACCUCCAAGGUGCCCCCCAGUAAUCUCCACCUCCUGGUGUUCAUGCCCUCAUGUAACCCCUCCCCUUGAGAGACUAGUGACUCAAUUCUAGCAAACAGAAUUCAGCAGAAGUGAUGGGAUGACACUUUUGAGAUUUGGUUAUGAAAAGACUUCACCUUGGGUGUGGUUUCUCUUGCUCUGUCUCUGAUCACUUGUGCUGGGGGGACUCAAGCUGCCAUGUGUGAGCUGCCCUGUGGGCAGGCCCAUGUGGCAUGGUGAGGAACUAAGGUCCAACCACAUGAGCAAGGUUGGAAGUGGGUCCUUCAGUUCUAGCUGAGACUUCAGAUGAGACCACAUCCCUGGCGAACAAUUUGACUGCAACCUCAAGAGAGAACCUGAACCAGAGGCACCCAGCUAAGCCCCAUCACAAUUCCUAACUCAGAGAAUCUGUGAGAUAAUAAAUGUUCU